CCACACUGACCAGGGCGGGAGGAGAUACAAGCCAACAACCUUCCACUGCUAAAUUGCUCCUCGAUGUGGGCAUCGAGUUUGCGACCCUGCUGACGCUUCUCCAGCUUCCUGGUGACAUGAUUACUCUUAUUUGCUUCCUCUGUAGCAGGUUCAGCCUCCUGUCCCUGCCGCCAAUGCAAAGGAACGCGUUAAAUGAGAAGAUAAUCAUCAAAUUUAGUCCACAGCAAUUUGAACAUAUCAUAAGAAAGCAGUGGAGUCCUCUACAUUGAAUCACAUGAUUUUAUGUAUCUUAAGAAGGCAGUGGAGUUACUCCAUUGAAUCACAUGCUGAGAAUCAAGCAAAAGAUAACCCUGAAUGGAGACCUUGGUAGAUUGUGCUAAAGAAUCACAAUAUUAACAUAAAGCUCUAUAAAAUACAAAGCACGGUAACUACAAGGCAAGCCAACUCCAGCACAAUGGUUUUCUAAGCCAAUUAAAAUUAGAAGACUCACAGAUAUUCAAGUCAAAAAGCCGUGUUACAACAUGAUCCAAAAGCUAUCCAACAACAACUUGCCAACAACAUCAAUUAGGGGACAAACUUCUAUACAAUCAGUGCAUACAUCAGUUAAAGAAGAAAAAGACGAUAACCGCUAGGAUUAUGUUAGGACAUUGUAUUAUAGUCAAAUUAGUUGAGAGCAAGUUUAGACAUUGACAGUUAAUAUUAAAUUGUACAAGAACAACAUAGCACCCUAGAUUUCUCACUUUAAUAAUUUGUGUAUUACCAACACCUUUAGUAUUAAGAUAGUUUCAAUUCCAAAAGAAGUUAAAUGGUUACAAUGAACAAAGAAAAACUGAUAGUAUUCUUGUAACUACAAAACAACUUCAGUUAAGACUUUAAUGGAGAAAGCAUUAUGAAACUAAGAAAAACAGUAUAUUCUCAACUUCACAGCUAAAAGGGGUAUCAGUGCUCUUGGAUAAACAUUGUUCACUAUUUAGUGCACAUAACUUAGACCUUCUAUUUAACUUUUUGGAUAGAUAUCUCUAGCCGUACGUGAUUAAAUUGUGAUCAGUAAGGCACUUUUUUGGACAUAAUAGCACAGAUAAAGCCUGCACAAUGCCCAAAAUAACAACUAAAAUCCUAAAUAAAAGUUUUGUUCAACUUAAUCCAUAAAAACAUUUGUUUGGAAUGUUAAGGCUAUCCAAGGCCAUCUACAGGGACUGAAAUACCAAUUUUAAAAAUCUAUUUCCUAGCAUGCUAGUAAGUCCAAUCAUUUGUAAUGUGCAAAUUUAUUGUCAGAUCAUGUGUAAAUCAGCCCAGAAUCGUGUGUAAAAGCAGCCCCAACAUCAUCAGUGUAAAAAAAAAAAUCCAAUCACCUUAAAAUAUUCACCAUUAAUGAUCAAAUCAAACAAGUAGAUAACAAGUCAAUGAUCCAGCCUCAGAAUGAGGCAUCUAUUUCAUCGCCACAUAGAUGGUGCUAAAAAUCUGAAAUUCACAUAUGUUGAACAUAUUUCUUGUUAAGGCUUAAGUUGCCUGCUCAGUUAUAAUACAUAGACAAUCUCUGACAUUACAUCUUUUAACGCAUGAACUAAUCUUUUAGGUAAUAAGAAAACUGCAACCUUUGUGUAAAUUUGCUUUUGCUUGAAACCCAGCACUAUAUUAGCGGAAUCUUCUCAUUUUCAAACGAAACUAAAAAACAAAUCUGAAAAAGGUUUUCAUGAUAAAUUACAUAAAGUUCCUUCUGUGGCACCAAAAUGCCAGAUAACUGUUAUAAUUUCUAACCAAAUCAAAGAAACUGGUCAGAAAAUCUAGCAUUCAUAGCACCGAGAAGUGUAACACUGAAACCUACACUACAAUGGACUAAAACUUCACUGAUGAAAUUAGUUGAUCAUGCCAUAAAAUGCAUGAUUAGUAAACCUUAAUUGAGACCAAAAGGUAUACUGCAGUCCCAACUUCCACCAAACCUCUUCUCAUCACUAUCCACAAAUGAGAAACCCUACUUAUCAAGAACAUAUAAAAUCUAGAGAAAGCAUCAAAGUUAAUGCUACCAAACAAGACAACUGAGCCCUCACUGGCGUAAAACUACAAAUAAUCAUCAGCUCCAUUUAUUGGGAGUCAACAAAUAAAUAGCAUGAAAAAAUGAACAAAGCUAUAAUCCCCAGGAAGCCCACCUCUGGAAAAUCUGAGAUAUAGCCUUGUAAGCAGUAUCAGAACCAGAAUAAAAACAAACACAAUCCAAAGUGCUAUCAAAAAACAAUUUAACUAAAAGCAAAAUCUGAUGGAUAUAUGGGACAACAGAAAACAUAACAUCAAAGAAAUUCACCUCAGUUGCUUCCUUCUUAACAGCAGGGGCUUUCUUCUUCCUGCCAAUCUCAACACCAUAGUGCUGGAGAUACCACUGCUUGAAUGGGGCAGCAUCAACCUGAAUGAUGGCACUCUUCACAAGGGUCUGUGUCCUCACAAGCUCGUUGUUUGAAGCGUUGUAGACCACAUCAAGG
rnacentral:lncRNA from 1 species